UACAGAGGUCUCAAGCGUUGUUCGGAUUCAUUGGGCGUAAAGGGUGCGUAGGCGGCGCGGUAAGUCGGGUGUGAAAUCGUCGGAGCUUAACUCCGAAACUGCAUUCGAUACUGCCGGUGCUUGAGGACUGGAGAGGAGACUGGAAUUUACGGUGUAGCGGUGAAAUGCGUAGAUAUCGUAAGGAAGACCAGUGGCGAAGGCGGGUCUCUGGACG
rnacentral:rRNA from 1 species